UACGUAGGUGGCAAGCGUUGUCCGGAUUUACUGGGCGUAAAGGGCGCGUAGGCGGCCGCCUAAGUCAGACGUGAAAUCCCUCGGCUCAACCGGGGAACUGCGUCUGAUACUGGGUGGCUUGAAUCCGGGAGAGGGAUGCGGAAUUCCAGGUGUAGCGGUGAAAUGCGUAGAUAUCUGGAGGAACACCGGUGGCGAAGGCGGCAUCCUGGACCGGUAUUGACGCUGAGGCGCGAAAGCCAGGGGAGCAAACGGG
rnacentral:rRNA from 1 species